AGCUUUGCGCAGUGGCAGUAUCGUAGCCAAUGAGGUUUAUCCAAGGCACGAUUAUUGCUAAUUGAAAACUUGCCUUGGGAACCAAUACCAAGGUGCCACUUAGUUCUAUGACUCUCCCAAAUGGUG
rnacentral:snRNA from 1 species